rnacentral:rRNA from 1 species
UACGUAGGCAGCGAGCGUUGUUCGGAGUUACUGGGCGUAAAGGGUGUGUAGGCGGUUCUUUAAGUUUGGCGUGAAAUCUCCCGGCUCAACCGGGAGGGUGCGUCGAAUACUGAGGGACUAGAGUACGGGAGAGGAAAGUGGAAUUCCUGGUGUAGCGGUGAAAUGCGUAGAUAUCAGGAGGAACAUCUGUGGCGAAGGCGCCUCUCUGGACUAAUACUGACACUGAGGAGCGAAGGCGUGGGGAGCAAACAGG